ensembl:lncRNA
CCGUUUCCUGCUCCAGGGGACCUUCCUGAUCCGGGGGUGGAGCCUGCAUUUCCUCCUGCUCCUGCGUUGCAGGGGGAUUCUUUACUGCUGAGCCACCGGAGAAGCCCGUCAGACCUGACUUACCAACUUCAAGCUGCUGUCUCCCAGACACGUCCCCACUCAGCACCCUGGAGGCUGUUACCCCUGGCCUGAGGCAGGAGACAGAUGGGCCCCAGGCUGAGCACUGGAGUCUGUCUCCUGCCGACAGACUCUGCAAGAUGAAGACCGCAGCGGGAGUGAGGAGAGCUGAGUCCUGCACAACAGGAGAAGCCGCCGCGGUGAAGGGCCAGCGCCGCGGUGAGGGGCCAGCGCGCCGCAACAAAGCCCCAGCGCAGACAAGUGUAAAUCAAUUACAUCAAUAGAUUUUUUAAAAAUGUGACUAACGCAUCAAAAGAAAACGGACCAGCAAGGGCCACUAUACAGUGGCGGCAGAAGGGAG